GAUGAACGCUGGCGGCGUGCUUAACACAUGCAAGUCGAACGAAGCACCUUGAUUUGAUUCUUCGGAUGAAGAUCUUGGUGACUGAGUGGCGGACGGGUGAGUAACGCGUGGGUAACCUGCCUCAUACAGGGGGAUAACAGUUAGAAAUGACUGCUAAUACCGCAUAAGACCACAGCACCGCAUGGUGCAGGGGUAAAAACUCCGGUGGUAUGAGAUGGACCCGCGUCUGAUUAGGUAGUUGGUGGGGUAACGGCCUAUCAAGCCGACGAUCAGUAGCCGACCUGAGAGGGUGACCGGCCACAUUGGGACUGAGACACGGCCCAAACUCCUACGGGAGGCAGCAGUGGGGAAUAUUGCACAAUGGGGGAAACCCUGAUGCAGCGACGCCGCGUGAGCGAUGAAGUAUUUCGGUAUGUAAAGCUCUAUCAGCAGGGAAGAAAAUGACGGUACCUGACUAAGAAGCACCGGCUAAAUACGUG
rnacentral:rRNA from 1 species